GCAGGCUUAACACAUAGCAAGUCGAACGCCCCGCAAGGGGAGUGGCAGACGGGUGAGUAACGCGUUGGGAACAUACCCUUUCCUGCGGAAUAGCUCCGGGAAACUGGAAUUAAUACCGCAUACGCCCUACGGGGGAAAGAUUUAUCGGGGAAGGAUUGGCCCGCGUUGGAUUAGCUAGUUGGUGGGGUAAAGGCCUACCAAGGCGACGAUCCAUAGCUGGUCUGAGAGGAUGAUCAGCCACAUUGGGACUGAGACACGGCCCAAACUCCUACGGGAGGCAGCAGUGGGGAAUAUAGGACAAUGGGCGCAAGCCUGAUCCAGCCAUGCCGCGUGAGUGAUGAAGGCCUUAGGGUUGUAAAGCUCUUUCACCGAUGAAGAUAAUGACGGUAGUCGGAGAAGAAGCCCCGGCUAACUUCGUGCCAGCAGCCGCGGUAAUACGAAGGGGGCUAGCGUUGUUCGGAAUUACUGGGCGUAAAGCGCACGUAGGCGGGG
rnacentral:rRNA from 1 species